rnacentral:rRNA from 1 species
UGGGGAAUAUUGCACAAUGGAGGGAACUCUGAUGCAGCGACGCCGCGUGAACGAAGAAGGCUUUCGAGUCGUAAAGUUCUUUUAUAUGGGAAGAUAAUGACGGUACCAUAAGAAAAAGCCCCGGCUAACUACGUGCCAGCAGCCGCGGUAAUACGUAGGGGGCUAGCGUUGUCCGGAAUCACUGGGCGUAAAGGGUUCGCAGGCGGAAAUGCAAGUCAGGUGUAAAAGGCAGUAGCUUAACUACUGUAAGCAUUUGAAACUGCAUAUCUUGAGAGGAGUAGAGGUAAGUGGAAUUUUUAGUGUAGCGGUGAAAUGCGUAGAUAUAAAAAAGAAUACCGGUGGCGAAGGCGACUUACUGGGCUCAUUCUGACGCUGAGGAACGAAAGCGUGGGUAGCAAACAGG